UACGUAGGGUGCAAGCGUUUAAUCGGAAUUACUGGGCGUAAAGCGUGCGCAGGCGGUUUUGUAAGUCUGUCGUGAAAUCCCCGGGCUCAACCUGGGAAUUGCGAUGGAGACUGCAAGGCUAGAAUCUGGCAGAGGGGGGGUAGAAUUCCACGUGUAGCAGUGAAAUGCGUAGAGAUGUGGAGGAACACCAGUGGCGAAGGCGACUCUUUGGCCUGUAACUGACACUGAGGCGCGAAAAGCGUGGGGAGCAAACAGG
rnacentral:rRNA from 1 species